rnacentral:lncRNA from 1 species
AGGUCAAGCAGCACAAGCCACAGCUGCAGUGGCACUGUGCUGGUGCUGGCCCAGUGGUCCUAGGACCAGCCUAUUUAGCAAAGAUCUGUUUCUGCAGGAGUUCCAGGAAGCCACACAUCUCCCUGUCAUCAGUGCUGGCCACCAGGCUCAAUGGCUGUGCCUGUAGAUUCUGGGCAGCAUUACUGCCUCCGCACCUUGCAUCAGCUCCAUGCUGGAAGUUGGUCACUCCUAGUCCUGGCCCCCCUCAGCAAUCACCUGUUUCUGCAGGAGCUCCAGGGAUCCACACAUGUCUCUGCCCUCAGUAACAACAGCCCACACUGCUCAUCAGAAACAGUUUGUAUUUGCAGCCUACUGGGUGGGACACUGCAGUGAAGGAUACAGAUUGUCGUUCUCCAAGUACAACUCUGUCCUGCUAUCUUUCUUUCCAAUUUCCUGAGUUCUCAUUUCAAAAGCAUCUUCUAACAAAUAAAAACAUCUUCACAUAAGC